rnacentral:lncRNA from 1 species
GUGUGUGUAUAAAUAUUGGCUUUGAUCCACAGUGAGUCUUUAAAGAUCAAUAAAAAUGGAUGAUGUCAGGAAGCUGUUUUUGGCCUUAUAGGCCAGGAAAAAGGAAAAUGUUUUGAAGGGGUAGACAGGAACACUUCCACAGCUCAGUUGCUAUCACUACUUUUCAUAUUUAAAGUUAACACAAGCUGCUCGUCUGAAUCCCAAUGGAAAAGGUGAAUGGAUAUUCCAGUUCUGUACCUUUAUCAAAUUCAGAUGUACCUUAGAUUCCUUUCAGUUUGUUUCCUGUAGUAUUAGGAUUAACAGCAGCAACAACAAAAAUCCUCCCAGCUCAGAUAUUUAGGAAGAAGAACCCAUUUUGAAUCUGUGUUUAUGUGCCCCCUGUUCUCAGAUGCUAUGUGUGUUGAAGGAGCAGUUGUUCAUUUUGUAGGUGCCAGUGUCAGGGAAUGAGGGAUCCAAGUGGUCCCAAGCACCUAGGCUUUGGUAAUCUCAGAGCAGUGUGAGAGUCUGCUGGGUCAGAACUGUCUUCCCUCUGGGUGUGGUGCCUCCUCUCUGCACUGUAGUGUUCCCUGAGAGCAAGCCCAGGAAACGCCACUUAGUAACGAGGAAAGCUUUCUCCUUAUGUGAGUUUUCUAAUUAAAAUGUUUUCCAUCUGAUGGGGAAGUGUGUGAAUAUCAAGAACUGGAAAUUAAGCAAGAAAUUAAAAGAACAUUAAUGGUUUCUUUGCAAUUUGUUUUGAGGUUUUCCUCACUAAGUGGUAUUUUGCUUACAAAGUCACCCUUUCACACAUAAAUCUUUAUGACAAAUGGACUGGAAUAUAUCCCAGCAAAAGAAGAGCUAUGGUGUCAUGUGUAAAUUAUAUCACACAUUGUGAAAGAGAACCCAAAGCAUUCACUUUUUAAAAAAGCAUUGUUAGUGCAGUUACUUAAUUGGUGUAUACAAAAUUAUAGUUUAUUUGAAAGUGAAGGUUGGUUUGUCUAGAGGACUGGAAGAAUAAGUGUUCUGACAUUUGUUCAUUGUUUGAAUUUACACUCCAGACACCAGAAUGCUCAAUAAAUCCAAAGUGUGAUUUACUGACUCUUUAAAAAGUUCACUGCUGAAACUUUAUCCAUCGCAACCAGUGUCCCUUCACCCCGAGGUAUGUUUGAUCUGCAGUAGGCAGGCACCUGCCCUUCCUGGUCCUUGGGCCUCAGGGAGUGCAUCGAAUGCCACACUGGCAGUUUUGUUUGUUUUGUUAUCUGGAUUUGUGUCUACUAGUAAAGUCUUCAUUAAGCUGCAGCUUCUACCUCUGGGUGGAGAAGUAGGUGGAAACAGGGAACUGUCAAACUCUGUAGCCCUUCCCGGCCUACCUCAAAGUGCCCCCACCCACAGCCUCUCACCUGCCUCUUCUCUCUCCUAGACCUCAGGGUACUGCAUGUUCUGUCUGCUGUGCUUUCAGUUUCCUUCUCUGGCCCAGCCCUUCCUCCCUACUUCCGUUUAUUCUGGUGGACAGCCUUUAGGGGCCAGCCCAGAUGCCACUUCUUCAUGCACCCUUUCUUGGGCUCCAUUCUGCAUAGUCCAUCCUUUGGUUCAUUCUUCUCCUUCCCAUAUCCCCUGUGAGGACUGUCGCCAUGAAAAUGUCAUGAUCUCUUUAUUGGUGUCUUUAAUCUACUAAAUCAGGAGCUCUUUGGGAGCAGGUGCUGGGCCUCCCUUAGAUUUCUGUUUCCCUAGAACCCAGCCCAGCACCUGCACAUGGUUGUGAGUGAAUGAAUUCGGGUGGAUGGGUGGGGGAGUGAUGGUGGGGUAAUGUACCUUCAAGUCAAAAAGGUAAACUUGAUUCCUGUUUUGGAGAAAGAGAAGAAUAAAUACUGUUUUUGUUUAUACAGGUCUUAAAAUUUUGGUAGCAGAGAGCAAAUGUGCAGAGAGCAAUGGAAAACAAGUCAGAAGCUGCUGUCUGAUUCCAGAGAAGGUCACAUUUUAUGCAAAAAGAAAAAAAGUAAUUUACAUUUGAUCACCUUGAGAUCUUCAAUUUGUCAUUGUGAUAUCUUAAGUAACUAAUGAUUAAGUGAAAUAAAUCUUGGGAAAAUAGAUCACAAAUGGAAUGAGGACUUUGCAUUGUAAGAAACCCACAACUCUUUUCUUUUCACAACAUGACCUUUUUAAAAAGUACCUUAUUGCAGGCUUGUGAAGGUGGCUGGCCUCUGAGCACUGGGCACAUGCCUGAAAGUGAUAGGCCUUUUUUAUUUACCUUGAUCCGCUGGAAUUAAACAGUCAUGCUUAUAUUCAGUUAGUUUGAGGUUUGGUUGGAAUUCAGUUCCAAAUUGGCGAAAGAAAUGAGCAUCCAGCCCCUCUUCCUCAUAUUGUCCAACUUGCCUUAUGAGACUCAUAUGCACAGUAUUCCCUGUUUAAACUGAAGUCACUCACUUGACUCUGUCCCUGCAGUAGUCCCUAAGGAAGGUAAACGAACAGAUAUCUUGAGACUUCCUUCUGCAUCAGUAGUUUUGAUAGUUUCAAGGCCACUGUGGAAUUCACCUGUAGUCUGUUAGGACCUUACCUUACUUAGGAACAUUAGUCCUUUUACUCACACACCCUCCAGUAUCCCUUUGGAAUGCUGUGUUUUUCUAACCCAUGAAACUGGUCUAGAAAGUACAGUAGCAAGUGCUGAGAAUUGAAGUCCACCUUCCUAGUGCUGUGCUUCACAAAUAGUCUCUAGCUGGGGGCCUCUCAGAGCAUGGUGUUCUGUUAUAUCAAUAUGUACUUAGACAUGCUAAUCUGAAUUAGAGAGCCGAUAUACAUAAUGACUCCCCUGGGAUGCUAUAUUAGAAAAAAAACAAAACAAAAACUGAAGUAGUUUGCUGAAUAUGCAUAGGAAGCUAAAAAAUAAAAUCCUUCUAAAAUGAGCGUUAAUUGAAUCUGGACCUUGAUCAUCUUUGAACCUCUAAUUUUUAAUUUGAUCCUUUAAAAAAGUUUUAUAGGUUCUUGAAGACAAAAUCUACAACUCAAUAAAAGUUAUGCUGUAGUGAUUGCCUAAAGACUGUACAAAGCCCAAUUUUGAGGUAUUGUUGCUCCAUGUAUACACAGCAUGUGUGGGGUAGAUGUAUAUAUAUGUACAUGUUCAUGCAUACACAUACCAACUAUAUGUGCUUAAUCUAUGCUGUAGUUUGCCUUUAUUCAGAUUCCCUCUAGAAAUGGGGCAAAUUUUCUUCAGUUAAAAACAGAAAUAGAAGCGCCGGCCUUGACCCAUUUUAUACCUGUUUAUUUCAGGCUCUCACCACACACUUGUUCAUGGGCACAGCAAGAAGAGGGAUCCACAGAGCUGGAGCCGUGAGGUCUGACACAUUGGGGUGAAGCUGGCAAAAUUCGUAGGGAGAGCUUUACCAUCCUGCCAGCUCCAUAUCUGGCCUCAAGACAGUUCUAUUAGUGAAUUAAUUGUACUCAAAACCUCGAAUUCAUUUGAACCGAAUGUUACUAAAAAUGAAAUAGAUCAAAGUGACCUCCUCUUGCCUCAUCCAGAGUGAUUGUGAAGGAGCCCAUGGCCUCAUUUAUCUCUGGAGAGCAGGUCUCCACCUGUGUGCCUCCUGGUCCUGGGGUUUUUCGUGCCCGUCCCUGAUGCUACUCUGCCCGCAGUCCCUCAGCAGGCUUCCAUUUCUUACUGGCACUUCACUCCCCUGGAAUCUCUUUAUGUUGAUUACUGUUUGUCUCCCACAAGAAUGGAAGCUCCAUGAGAGCAGGGUCUCUGUCUUGUUCCAUGUCCCAGUGCAUAGGACAGUGCCUGGCACAGUAGAGUUUCAAUAAACGCUAUUGAAUGAACUAG